UUUACUGCCACUUUAGACACAUUUAGGACAAAACGGUGCAAAUGGCUCUAAAAUCAUUGGACUUUUUUCCCCUUAAUUCAAAUGAAUUCAUUUAUUUCAUGAAAAAAUAUAUAUAUAUAUAUUGCCGUCUCAUCUCACAUUGAUCACUAAGCAAGUGGCGCCCAUCGAAGUGGCCGCUUUGCAAACAAAUUGCGCAAUAAAUCAAACGGGCAGGGGAGCUCGGUCCCGACAACAACCAUCUGCCCGCACGACCCGUUUCGGUGUCGUCUGUCUGCUUUGGACCUGGAGAUGAAAAAGGCGGCGCGGACUCAUUAGGCCUUAGCAAAGAAGAACAAAAUAACACCUUCUGCAAGAGGAGACGCUCCGGACAAACAAGACGCCUCUCCUGAAGGAACCCGACGACACAUCGGCGUGAUAAUAAGUUUGAACAAAAAGCGCCGAGUCACUUUCUGUCCCCGUCUUGUCAUCUUGACACAGGUUAAAAACAUAAAAGGAUACAGCCUCAAAGCUCCGUUAAGUGUCCCGACAGCCAAGAUUUUCUGUACAGGGUCGAAGGCCAUGGAGGACGGCUGAUGCGGGAAGCCAUGACGCACAGUCUGGGAGAAAGACAAAGCACAAUUGCAAUCAGAGACAACAAGCAGUCAUCUGCCUCAUGAUAAAUAUGAUCGGGACCGAGCAAUAUGGCCUUCAAAUAAAAACCACCGCUUAAUUUACGACUUGCUUGUUUCACCUGCGACCUUUAAACUGACAUUUUCUUCAUCACAUCAUCUUUCCAAUGCAAGGCUCAAAGCAACUAAUGAUUCGAUGGAAGAAUUGGCCAAGCCUUCUCAAGAAUUGCCAGCCAACACGUGUAGACAAACAAGCGGGCGGACAGACAGGUCUUCAACGAGGAAGCCAGUGUCGUCGCGCUGUCAACCAAUCAGAGAAGGGAUUCCCUGAGCGGCAGACAAAUCCAAAGGAGACAUUGGACAGACUGGUCCUGAGGGAAGUGCCCAGGCUGGGUCUGUGUUUUGGAUGGGAAAUGUGAACAGUUGCCACCCGCCAGUAACUGGAUUAACAUUCCACAAUUACAAGAACACA